GUGCCAUUGCAUUAGCUAAAAAUA
rnacentral:siRNA from 1 species